CAAGAAGCUGCUCUCUGCACAGCAAUUUGGAGCAAUCAGUCUCUGCAGAAUGGCAUCUCCUGCUGUUGGACUCCAGCAGUGACUACUAGCAGUGAAGCCAACCCUCCCACCUGCUCCUGCAAAUCUCGAUCUGCCUUCCUGCUCCUGCUGCUGGUUCAGUAGAGGCUUGCUGCACUGCCAGCCUGCAAGGCAAACAGGAGAUGGGCAGGAGGAGGAGUCCACCCUUCCCAGAGGAGCAGACUGACAACAGAAUGAAGUACAAAGGCCUUGGAUAUAAUAUACUGCUCCUGUAGACUGCAAUGGUCUCUGCAGGCUCCAGGCCCUUUAAAUACAUUGUGUGUGAUUUGUCUUAAAAAUACACUACUUUCCGAGGAGCCUCAAGCCAGUGCCUGCAAAAAAAGAAGCGUUGGAAAUGUCCUGGUUUCUACAGUGGAAUGACCAGUUUCCCUCCUGCAGGAGACUGUCUGAUUACUGUGGAGGUUGAGUGGUGAGGCACUGGAUCAGGCUGUACACUGAGAAGUGUGGAUACCCCAUCUCUGGCAAAGUUCAAGUCCAGGUUGGAUGGUGCGCUGCUCACUCCUACCUAGUAUGAGGCAACCCUGCCCACAGCAGGGGGUUGGAGCUUAAUGAUCUUUAAUGUCCUUUCCAACAGAAGUCAUUCUAUGAUACUAUGAUUCUAUUCAUCUUUUCUUCAUAUUUUAUUUUAUUUUAUUUUAUGUUAUUUUAUUUUGAACCUAACUGCAUAGAUACAUACUGUACAUUGUAAUUUAAUUCAAGUACUGUUUAGCUGACUACACAGUAAAAGGUGCUAUUCAGCCUAAAUGAUGGUGUCUCACUCUAAGAGAAUAAAGCUCUAUUGAUUUGCUCUGUAGGGGUUUUUAUUUGUAUUGAAGGUGCUCUAACUUGUGAGGCAGAGCAGCCAUUUUUAAUUAUUACUUGUUGGCAUGGAAAGCAGAGAACUUGCAAUGUAAUGCAGUUUCAAAAUUUUACAUAAACAUCUACGUUCAUGGACAGAGUCCUUUAUCAUCCCUGAAUAUGAAGAAAAAUCAGCAGAGAACAUAAGAUUACAUAGGUUUAGGAUAAAUAGCACUUGGUAAAUUUGGAAUUAUGUCACACCUCCUCCUCAAACCCUGUGGCAACCUCUAGUCCAACUGGCAAAGCCUGAUCUAGAUGGGCACAAAUUGCAUAGUUCCAUAGAGGAAAAAAAUUCUUCAACUGCUUAGCAUUAGCAUUUUAGUCAGGCAAACUGCCACUUCAUCAAAGUCUUUUACAAAUCUGUCAGCAUAGCAGUCGUGAAUGUUAGAGUUUUCCAG
ensembl:lncRNA